rnacentral:rRNA from 1 species
UACGAAGGGGGCUAGCGUUGCUCGGAAUUACUGGGCGUAAAGCGCACGUAGGCGGGUUGUUAAGUCGGGGGUGAAAUCCUGGAGCUCAACUCCAGAACUGCCUUCGAAACUGACGAUCUUGAGUUCGGGAGAGGUGAGUGGAACUGCGAGUGUAGAGGUGAAAUUCGUAGAUAUUCGCAAGAACACCAGUGGCGAAGGCGGCUCACUGGCCCGAUACUGACGCUGAGGUGCGAAAGCGUGGGGAGCAAACAGGG